UUCAACAAGGCAGGAGGAGCAGGAGGAGGAGCAAAGUGGGAGUGAGGGUGCUGAGGCAGAGGAAGACACCCCAGAAUCCCUAGAUGCAGGCAGCCAGGAGCUGUUCUCAAGCCAGGAGGACGGUAGCCAGUCGCAGCGGCCAGUGCUUGGGAAAGGACAAACACCAGAGGAGGUUCCCGAUAAGUGGCUUUUAUUUUGGGAAGGAAGUUAUUUGUGUGGGCUCUUGGGGCAAGGAGGGUUUGGGCUGCAUGCAUGCCUAGAUGCGGAAUAGGGCGACAAUGUGCUCUCUCACAUAGUAGUAAUCGACCUCAGUGAUCUCUUCAAAAGCUUCAUCCAGAAAUUGGGCAAUGCGCUUGUGCAGCUUUCUCGAGAGAGCCACUGUGGUCCUUGUCC